AUUGAACGCUGGCGGUAUGCCUUACACAUGCAAGUCGAACGGUAGAGGGGCAACCCUUGAGAGUGGCGAACGGGUGAGUAAUACAUCGGAACGUGCCCAGUCGUGGGGGAUAACGUAGCGAAAGCUACGCUAAUACCGCAUACGACCUGAGGGUGAAAGCGGGGGACCGCAAGACCUCGCGCGAUUGGAGCGGCCGAUGGCAGAUUAGGUAGUUGGUGGGGUAAAGGCCUACCAAGCCUGCGAUCUGUAGCUGGUCUGAGAGGACGACCAGCCACACUGGGACUGAGACACGGCCCAGACUCCUACGGGAGGCAGCAGUGGGGAAUUUUGGACAAUGGGCGAAAGCCUGAUCCAGCCAUACCGCGUGCGGGAAGAAGGCCUUCGGGUUGUAAACCGCUUUUGUCAGGGAAGAAAUCUUCUAGGUUAAUACCUCGGGAGGAUGACGGUACCUGAAGAAUAAGCACCGGCUAACUACGUGCCAGCCGCCGCGGUAAAAC
rnacentral:rRNA from 1 species